CUGCCGGAGGUCACUGCUAUCAGUGUUCGANUAAGCCAUGCAAGUCAAAUGUUCUUCGUGAACAUGGCGGACUGCUCAGUAACACGUGGAUAACCUGCCNUUAGGAUUGGCAUAACACCGGGAAACUGGUGAUAAUACCGAAUAGACCAUUUAUGCUGGAAUGCUUUUUGGUCAAAAGGCUCCGGCUGCCUAAGGAUGGAUCUGCGGCCUAUCAGGUAGUAGUGGGUGUAAUGUACCUACUAGCCUACGACGGGUACGGGUUGUGAGAGCAAGAGCCCGGAGAUGGAUUCUGAGACAUGAAUCCAGGCCCUACGGGGCGCAGCGGGCGCGAAAACUUUACAAUGCGGGAAACCGCGAUAAGGGGACACUGAGUGCCAGCAUAUUAUGUUGGCUGUCCACAUGUAUAAAAACCAUGUGUUAGCAAGGGCCGGGCAAGACCGGUGCCAGCCGCCGCGGUAACACCGGCGGCCCGAGUGGUGAUCACUUUUAUUGGGUCUAAAGGGUCCGUAGCCGGUUUAAUCAGUCUUCUGGGAAAUCUGACAGCUCAACUGUUAGGCUUUCAGGGGAUACUGUUAAACUUGGGACCGGGAGAGGUAAGAGGUACUACAGGGGUAGGAGUGAAAUCUUGUAAUCCCUGUGGGACCACCAGUGGCGAAGGCGUCUUACCAGAACGGGUCCGACGGUGAGGGACGAAAGCAGGGGGCACGAACCGGAUUAGAUACCCGGGUAGUCCCAGCCGUAAACGAUGUUCGCUAGGUGUCAGGGACGGUGCGACCGUUUCUGGUGCCGUAGGGAAGCCGUGAAGCGAACCACCUGGGAAGUACGGCCGCAAGGCUGAAACUUAAAGGAAUUGGCGGG
rnacentral:rRNA from 1 species